rfam:Dipodomys ordii contig_31976, whole genome shotgun sequence.
UGGCUCAGUGGUAGAGCGCUUGCCUUGCACGCAUGAGGCCCUGGGUUCAAUUCCUCAG